rnacentral:rRNA from 1 species
UACGUAGGCAGCACGAGUUGUUCGGAAUUACUGGGCGUAAAGGGUGCGUAGGCGGUUGGCUAAAUUUGGUGUGAAAUCUCCCGGCUUAACUGGGAGGGUGCGCCGAAAACUGGCUGGCUAGAGUGUGGGAGAGGGAAGUGGAAUUCCUGGUGUAGCGGUGAAAUGCGUCGAUAUCAGGAGGAACACCUGAGGUGUAGACGGCUUCCUGGACCAUUACUGACGCUGAGGCACGAAAGCGUGGGGAGCAAACAGG